rnacentral:lncRNA from 1 species
CACGGGGAGGGCGGUGCACACAGCCUUCCCUGUCCUCCUCCUGCAGAAACUCACCUUGUUCUGCACUCCUGGGGCAACAUCCACGUGGGGCUUUUCUUCCUGUUCAGGUUUCCAAAUAGCGCUUCAAGGUUGUAGCUACAGCAUGUUAAAUACUCCUAAAGACCAAAUUAUCCGCGCACUUAGGAAUCCUCUGGAAUUAAUUAUAAUUCCAUCUCUAUGAGACACAGAGAUACUUUUGUCCCCUGUUGUGUUGACUGUAAACAGAGGUACUACUAGGCUGGAGUCACAAAUCAUGCUGUCCACUGCAGACAUUUGGUUUGAGAGAAAGGCAGAAGAUGUGUGGCAGAAGCCCAGGGUACAUCUGUGCCCUUAUGAAAGAUGGGCAUGGGGCUGUGGGAUGGAGCUCUGGAACAAGUCCUCUUUUUCUCUUUCACGAAGUGAUGCAGGAAAGAAUGGUGACCAUGGAAUGCUUAUAAAAUUGGCAAAGGCGGGAAGUCAAACUGAGUCAAGUGAUCCCCAUUCCUUAAAAUGGCCCACCACCCCAGCAGACCUCAGUCCAGACCAACAGUGGACCUCAGAAUGGAAUAACUGCUGUGCUGCAUUUCCCAGCUGUGACUCAGGCGCUGUGGGAUGUUUCGCGUUGCUUCCCGACAUGCAGAGAUGCUCACCUUUCCCGUGAGGAUGCUGCACGUAGACUUUUCCUGCUUUGCGGAAGCGUAGUUGUAUCUGAACGCUGACUUAUUUCUUUGUGACUAAUGAGCCUGCAUGAAAGCAUUGGAUAGUCUCGAAUGGGCAGGUGUAUUAUACUCCGUGUUAAGAAAUUUGUUUUGUUCAGCUGUAUGUCAAACGUGAUUUGUGGCUGGGCUGUGGAAUCAAUCCAAAAAGAUAAAUUUGCUUACCAAAGGUUGCUGUCAAGCUCUACCGUGCUGAAGCUCCAGCUUACAGAAGGCAGCGUCUUCCAACAAAAGGGUUUCAGCCAAAUAAAUGGAGCUUAGAGAAAAUGCAAUGUUACAGCUGAAGUACCGGGAUAAUUGAGCCUGUAACAUCUGCUGAAAUGUAGUGACACCAAAAAUAAACACUUCUGCCCAUGUUGCUAUUCCCUGGUACAGCAGUGUAUAAACAUGUGAUGCGACCCCAGCACAUCAGGGAAUGUGGGAACAGACUGGUGUUGCCAUCAUAAGUACCCUUCCCCUGUCAAGGAAGGAGCUUUCCGAGCACAGCUGUAAUAAGGACAUUGCUUGGGUUGCUUUCCAGCAGCUUUUAUGAGAAGGGAAAAGGGAUCAUGUGCUUAAUUAGCCCCUUUAGUAAGAGGUGUUCUUGUGUAUGUUUUGCAGCUGGAACAAAGGGCCAGGGUGAGGGUGUUUGCUUGAUUUUUCCCUUAAAGAGAGAAAAUGUAUGAAAUCGUUCCUGGAUGGAAAAUAGGGAAAAAAAAUAGCAAAAAUCUUUUGUCUGUUAUAAGGACUAAUUUUCCUAGGAAAAUGCUCAAGAAUGAGAUUUUCCUUUUGUUGCAAAUUACUGUUGAGUUUGAUUAAACAGAACCAUUGAUUUGCUUAUUCUUCUCUGCGUGAUUUCCCCUGGCUUGGAGCUGUGGGAAGCCAGGCUCAGCCUCUGUCCAGCAAAUGCCCUCGUAAACACAAGCUUCUGGUUUCGCUUUCACAGUAUAAACACAAGGGAACAUUCAAUUACAUUGAAAAGGGAUGCAUUUAAAACUGAUAAAAAGGAAAUAAAUUUUUGCGCGGCGUGCAAUUACUCAGUGGAAUCCAUUCCUCUUGAGUGUCAUCACAACCAAAAGCUUAGCAGGAUUUGAAAGAGGGCUGGAGGGCUGGUAAUACAUACAUAAAAAUAAACAAGGACUCUGGAAGGGAUUUACACUCUUGGGCUUCUGGGGAGAAGCCAGCAUCCCAUUGUGGCAGUUUUGGGAAAGGUUUCCAGAGCUGCUUGUCCCACACUGCCUGCCACCGUACUGCUUGCAUGUCCCCUUGGCGUGCUGCAGUAACAGCCUCCUUCAGCAGGAC